rnacentral:lncRNA from 1 species
ACCGGUGGUGGUGGUGGUGGUGAUGAGUACUUGUAGGGUUUCUUUGGUGGUGGUGGAGGAGAUGAGUAAUGGUAUGGCGGCGGCGGUGGUGAUGAGUAAUGGUAAGGCUUCUUUGGUGGUGGAGGUGGAGAAUGGUAGUAGUAAGGCUUCUUAGGUGGUGGAGGAGGAGAAUGGUAGUAAUAUGGUGGUGGUGGUGAAGACACCGGCGGAGGUGGAGAAUGGUAGUAGUAGGGUGGUGGAGGUGAAGACACCGGUGGUGGUGGAGAAUGAUAGUAGUAAGGCUUCUUAGGGGGUGGUGGUGGAGAGUGAUAGUAGUAAGGUGCCUUCUUAGGCGGCGGAGGAGGGGAGGAGUAAUGGUACGGCGGAGACUUGGGUGGUGGGGGUGAUGAGUAGAGGUAGUUAUCAGCGGAGAUUUGCAAGCUUAGAGAAGAAAGC